rnacentral:rRNA from 1 species
AACGAACGCUGGCGGCAGGCUUAACACAUGCAAGUCGAGCGAGACCUUCGGGUCUAGCGGCGGACGGGUGAGUAACGCGUGGGAACGUGCCCUUCUCUACGGAAUAGCCCCGGGAAACUGGGAGUAAUACCGGAUACGCCCUUUGGGGGAAAGAUUUAUCGGAGAAGGAUCGGCCCGCGUUGGAUUAGGUAGUUCGUGGGGUAAUCGCCCACCAAGCCGUCGAUCCAUAGCUGGUUUGAGAGGAUGAUUAGCCACACUGGGACUGAGACCCGGCCCAGACUCCUACGGGAGGCACCAGUGGUGAAUCCUAGACAAGGGAGGCAACCAUGAUCUAGCCAUGCCGCGUGAGAGAUGAAGGCCUUAGGGUUGUAAAGCUCUAUCAGCUGGGAAGAUAAUUACGGUACCAGCAGAAGAAGCCCCGGCUAACUCCGUG